GAGUUUGAUCGUGGCUCAGAUUGAACGCUGGCGGCAUGCCUUACUCAUGCAAGUCGAACGGCAGCAUGAUCUAGCUUGCUAGAUUGAUGGCGAGUGGCGAACGGGUGAGUAAUACAUCGGAACGUGCCCUGUAGUGGGGGAUAACUAGUCGAAAGAUUAGCUAAUACCGCAUACGACCUGAGGGUGAAAGUGGGGGACCGCAAGGCCUCAUGCUAUAGGAGCGGCCGAUGUCUGAUUAGCUAGUUGGUGGGGUAAAGGCCCACCAAGGCGACGAUCAGUAGCUGGUCUGAGAGGACGAUCAGCCACACUGGGACUGAGACACGGCCCAGACUCCUACGGGAGGCAGCAGUGGGGAAUUUUGGACAAUGGGCGAAAGCCUGAUCCAGCAAUGCCGCGUGUGUGAAGAAGGCCUCGG
rnacentral:rRNA from 1 species